GGUGAACGCUGGCGGUAGGCCUAACACAUGCAAGUCGAACGGCAGCACAGUAAGAGCUUGCUCUUACGGGUGGCGAGUGGCGGACGGGUGAGGAAUACAUCGGAAUCUACUUUUUCGUGGGGGAUAACGUAGGGAAACUUACGCUAAUACCGCAUACGACCUACGGGUGAAAGCAGGGGAUCUUCGGACCUUGCGCGAUUGAAUGAGCCGAUGUCGGAUUAGCUAGUUGGCGGGGUAAAGGCCCACCAAGGCGACGAUCCGUAGCUGGUCUGAGAGGAUGAGCAGCCACACUGGAACUGAGACACGGUCCAGACUCCUACGGGAGGCAGCAGUGGGGAAUAUUGGACAAUGGGCGCAAGCCUGAUCCAGCCAUACCGCGUGGGUGAAGAAGGCCUUCGGGUUGUAAAGCCCUUUUGUUGGGAAAGAAAAGCAGCAGGUUAAUACCCCGCUGUUCUGACGGUACCCAAAGAAUAAGCACCGGCUAACUUCGUG
rnacentral:rRNA from 1 species